UACCGGGAGGCAGCAGUGGGGAAUAUUGCACAAUGGGCGCAAGCCUGAUGCAGCCAUGCCGCGUGUAUGAAGAAGGCCUUCGGGUUGUAAAGUACUUUCAGCGGGGAGGAAGGCGUUGAGGUUAAUAACCUCAGCGGUUGACGUACCCGCAGAA
rnacentral:rRNA from 1 species